GACGAACGCUGGCGGCGUGCUUAACACAUGCAAGUCGAACGGAAAGGCCCUGCUUUUGUGGGGUGCUCGAGUGGCGAACGGGUGAGUAACACGUGAGUAACCUGCCCUUGACUUUGGGAUAACUUCAGGAAACUGGGGCUAAUACCGGAUAGGAGCUCCUGCUGCAUGGUGGGGGUUGGAAAGUUUCGGCGGUUGGGGAUGGACUCGCGGCUUAUCAGCUUGUUUGUGGGGUAGUGGCUUACCAAGGCUUUGACGGGUAACCGGCCUGAGAGGGUGACCGGCCACAUUGGGACUGAGAUACGGCCCAGACGCCUACGGGAGGCAGCAGUGGGGAAUAUUGCACAAUGGGCGGAAGCCUGAUGCAGCAACGCCGCGUGCGGGAUGACGGCCUUCGGGUUGUAAACCGCUUUCGCCUGUGACGAAGCGUGAGUGACGGUAAUGGGUAAAGAAGCACCGGCUAACUACGUG
rnacentral:rRNA from 1 species